rnacentral:rRNA from 1 species
ACUCCUACGGGGCAGGCAGUGGGAGUAUUGGACAAUGGGGGACCCGUGCAUCCAGCCAUGCCGCGUGUGUGAAGAAGGCCUUUUGGUUGUAAAGCACUUUAAGCGAGGAGGAGGCUUACCUGGUUAAUACCUGGGAUAAGUGGACGUUACUCGCAGAAUAAGCACCGGCUAACUCUGUGCCAGCAGCCGCGGUAAUACAGAGGGUGCAAGCGUUAAUCGGAUUUACUGGGCGUAAAGCGCGCGUAGGUGGCUAAUUAAGUCAAAUGUGAAAUCCCCGC